GGAGGUGGAAGUUCGUGGGCUACUAACACACAAGGUUGGUCUCCAGCUUUCUUGAGCAAUUCCACGAUCUGCCAGAUGACGUCAUCCUCUGCAAGAGAGCAGAUGAUGUCAUUCUCUGCAAGAGACCGUGGUACCACCACGCCUAGGGAGAAGAGAAACACAUGUGACAAUCAGAGGUCAUCUCUUGGAAGCCAUUUCUCUCCUUUUAUUACAUGGGUUCCAGGAAUUGAACUCACAUCAUCGGGGCUUGAUGGAACAUGCCUUUACCCUCUGAGCCAUCUCACAGCCCAAAGCAUGAUGUUUUAUGCAGGGAUUUAAGGCCGGAUGUCCACCUGCCCUGCCACCUGAGCUUUCUAGAUCUGGGAGCUUUGAGUUGGCAGUGGCUAAGUCACUUCCCUCUUUGCAUCUUUUCAGCUUUCCCUGUGAAAUAUGGGUCACACUCUCUCAUGGGCUAUCAGGACAACAAACAAAGGAGCAGGAAUUAGAAACAUUUCCCAAGGCUUAUUCCAAGUCUUGCAGCCCCACAUAAUAACAGGUCCCUAUCCUAAGGCACAGAGAUGACAUCAGCUGGUGUUCCACAGGUCACACUGGACCUGCCCCAUAGCUGCCUCCACUACUCCUCACAUGAGAACAUUUCCUUGGGUAGCUUGUUCUGCUUCACACAAGGGUGGCAUGCCCACUCCACUAGCUGUACCCCAAAGGUCUGUUUGCAUGAAAUGUCAAACAAACAUUUCUGUCCCUGGCUUCCUGUUUCCUGACACAGUCUACAGUUCAUUUUCCUCUCAGGCAAGACAAUGAAUGGUAAACACCUUACAAAUUGGCCACAGAAAUGCCUUUCUAUCCCUUGCAAGCCCUGCCUUUAAAAAUGCAGCCCUUGUUUUUAGAGAAUUAAAUGAAGAGCGUAUUGUGG
rnacentral:lncRNA from 1 species